rnacentral:lncRNA from 1 species
GCACAACAGCUUAUAAGGAUUAUCUUUUUUUUUUCCUGUUAACAAGCGUCCUUCACAUUUUAAAAGACUAAGAAUCGGAGCACUAAUCCUGCUCUUUGCUCAGCCCCAUCUGGUACUUUUCUCUGGACUUUCUCGAUAUCCACAGACGCUAAAAGAUGGAGUGCUUUAUGGAGAACCCUACUGGCAAUGUGCUAAGUAAGCCCUGAGGAAGGAAUUUCUAGGAAGGAGAAAUGAGGUGUAUAAGCAAAUGAGGUCAUUUUUAAUAUGUGCAAAGUGAAAUGGAGAAGUAAGGGCAAGAACUCCAUGGCCUAAAUUUUCUAGACCAA